CUUUCCUCCGACAAAAUGCUUGCUACAUAUGUAGGCCGACCGCACCGGUGUACCCAGCGCACACAUUUCUCCUUGGCACUCUUGCAUUUCGGGAAAGUAAU